GCUCACUCGCAACCAUAACCUUUUUCACCACUCUACCACUCCAUUUAUCCCAAUAUCAUUUCCCCCUAAGCCAUUGAAUUCACUCAUUUCGCUGCCAAAUCCACCAUAAAGCUUCUUCACAUGAUGCUUCUGGUCUACUGGCAACCUCCUCUACAAGGUCAGUUCAAAACUCAAUAUUAAUGGUGCAGUUGACUAUACUACCUCCCGUGGAGGUAUUAGGGGAGUUUUUCGUGACUCAUCUACUACCUUGGUGGCAGGCUACUCCACGCCAUUGCAUCAUACUACUAUUUUGCAAGCAGAACUGCUUGGUCUCUACCAUGGAUUACGUAUAGCACUCAACAACCACUACAAGCCACUUAUUGCAGAAACUGAUUCACAGGUACUUACUACCCUACUCUCCACUAAUAAUCCUAAAUACUCAUAUUUGUUUGAUGCAUGCAUGUUGCUGCUACUUGACUUGGGAUCGCAUAUAGUCCAACAUACAUUCAGGGAGGGAAUUAGAGUGGUGGACGUUUUGUCUUCUUUUGGCA
rnacentral:lncRNA from 1 species